UCUCUUUCUCACUCUUUGUCUCUGUCUCUGUCUCUCUCUCGCUCUCGCACUCGGGUUCUACAGGAGGGUUUCCAUUCGGAAGCCAGCGCCGCCGUCUUCUCCCCGGAUUUUUCUCUAAGUUGCCUCCCCCUGAAAUUUUGGGAAAAUCUCUUUCUCAGGUCAUUUUUCUGGUUUUUCAUUUAUUGUUAUAUUUAAAAAUUAUUUUUAUUUUUAUUGUCAGAUUUCAGUUGAAGAGAUUAUAUUUCCAUUAAAAAAUAUAAAGAAAAUCUUACAGUAGUCUUAUUUUUUAGAUGAACAUGAUUACAUCUCAAACGCAAAGAGAUAUAUUGAAAAUCAAUGUCAAAAAGGUGGGUGUUGCAGUUGGCAAAGUGUACUUAUAGUUACAAGUCUUUUUACUUACAGUACAAAGAACUUAGCUAAGCAUCAGAAAUUAGAAUUAAAACAAUAUCAUGACUAUUCUUCCAAAUUAAGCAGCUAUACUUAUAUGGCAAAGUGUCAUAAAUAGUUUCUUUCUAAACGCUCUCUUCUUUUAGCAGUUCUUCUCUGCUUUUUUUUUUUUUAAAGAAAACUCGUUAAUUAAAAUAGAGUAUUGAUUUUUGAAAAGGUAUUCACGUUAAGAUUGUACUUAAUUUAAUUAUAGUAUGGAGUGCUUGUAGACGUUAGUCGGAUUUUUUUUUUUUUUUUUAUUGUUCAUAAACCUUUGAGACUUGUAUAUAGUGUUGCUCCUCUAUUUUAAGUACACUAUUUUAAAUACUGGCCAUAGCAUAUAUAUGCAACUCUAUUUGCUUAUGUUUACUCGUUAGAGAAUUCCUGUGUGAUUUUUUAUUAUGAAAGAAAAGUUCCCCUGUAAUUUCUAAAAGAAGAUGGUCAUCAUGUUCACAAUUUCACAACAAAAUAUUUGAAAGCAGGUGGCCAACCUUUACCUAUUGCUGAAAUUGAGGAAAUUUCUGUUAAGAAUAGAAACUCUGCUUCUACAACAAAUCAGAUGUCACUGCCAGCACUGAUUACAUAUUGUCAUGAUUACCAGCCAGAAGAGUUGCUUUCUUCAAAGAUUCAGAGUUUAUGUCCAAUGAUUACGGGCAAUGUUUGUUGUACAGAAGCUCAAUUUGACACAUUACUGACCCAAGUCCAACAAGUUGCCCAGCAUGCUUGAGAAACUUUUUAAAUCUGUUCUGUGAGCUCACCUGCUCUCCGAAUCAGAGUUUGUUUAUCAAUGUGACUUCUGUUUCCAAGGUUCCUGUUUACAAAGAACCAACACUUGUCAUUCCUGGAACCCCUGGAAUAGUGUAGCAUGAAAUUUUGAAUAAUAGGAGGAAUGUGUUGACUAAGGAUACCUUUGGUUCAGUGAAGCUGUGGGAGAUCAGCAGGGGCAUUGUCAUUGAGAAUUAUGGAAAGGUGUCAUUUGAGGAGAAAAAGGAAGAGCUAUUUAAGAUGGAUUGAACCAAGAUAUCAAGAAAUAUAGAGCAAAAACAUUUCAGAAGUUGUCAAAGAUUGAUGGAAUCAAAGUUAAACCCAUAUAGAAAAAAUUUCACUUGUAAAUUUAUAUUCCAUUGUGAUAUGUUUGAUGGUUUUAUAUAAAACUUAAAACAAUGGCAGUGUAGUGGUGAAUUUCAAAUAUGUACUUUGAGGUUA